CCUGCUGUUAUCCCUACUUGGAUUAAAGGAAGGUUUUUUUUGUGGUAUAUGAAGAAACGCGAAAAUUUCCGCGCAAUACUUUAAAAUGAGACAAAACCGCCUUGGGAAAGAGGACUGGGCCAGCAUCAGAUGGCAACCUGGUACAAUCAGACACACAACACAGAAAGAUGUGUUGUGGUGUCUUUGUCAUGCAGAUGGCAAAACACACCAUCAACGAUUUCCCCCCAAAAAAACCACAUGCAACUUCUCAGAAAGAAAAUGGCUGUUGAAAUACUUAAAGCAUCAGGAAAGUAUAUUUCAUAGUAUAUAGGACUUGUUCUGCCAAUACUGUCCCUAUAUUAAACAAUAGCAAGUAACAGAUCAUAAAAGCAAUGUACACUAAGAAUAAAUAUCAUCUUAACAAUUUAGACUCAAAGGAAAACAUCUAUGCACUACAGUAUGUGGACUGAAGGACCUUCUGGACUCUUCGAAUUCAGACAGUCGGUGAUUAACUGGGUAAAUCAGAAUUCUUUAAUGUUUUACAGACAACGGUUUAAAGUACACAAUAAUAUUAAUAAAAACAGUUUUGAUUCAUAGGCAUUGUAAUUGAU